rnacentral:misc_RNA from 1 species
GAAAUGCGAUAAGUAAUGUGAAUUGCAGAAUUCAGUGAAUCAGCGAAUCUUUGUACGCACAUGACGCCUUCCAGUAUCCUGGGAGGCACGCCUGUCCGAGCGUCGUUUCAACGCUCGAGCCCCCGUGGCCCGGCGUUGGGGAUCUGCCCAGGCAGGGCCCGAAAACCAGUGGCGGACCCGUUACAGGCCCUUCCUUUGCGUAGUAAUACUGCCUCGCAUCGGGAGCUGGCGGGCUUCCAGCCUCUAAAGCCCCAGCAAAUCCGCCUCGGCGGCACCAAGGUUGACCUCGGAUCAGGUAGGAAUACCCGCUGAACUUAA